GACGAACGCUGGCGGCGUGCUUAACACAUGCAAGUCGAGCGGAAAGGCCCUUCGGGGUACUCGAGCGGCGAACGGGUGAGUAACACGUGAGUAACCUGCCCCAGACUUUGGGAUAACCCUCGGAAACGGGGGCUAAUACCGGAUACGACACAGCUUCGCAUGGGGUCUGUGUGGAAAGUUUUUCGGUUUGGGAUGGGCUCGCGGCCUUUCAGCUUGUUGGUGGGGUGAUGGCCUACCAAGGCGACGACGGGUAGCCGGCCUGAGAGGGCGACCGGCCACACUGGGACUGAGACACGGCCCAGACUCCUACGGGAGGCAGCAGUGGGGAAUAUUGCACAAUGGGCGGAAGCCUGAUGCAGCGACGCCGCGUGAGGGAUGACGGCCUUCGGGUUGUAAACCUCUUUCAGCAGGGACGAAGCGUAAGUGACGGUACCUGCAGAAGAAGCGCCGGCCAACUACGUG
rnacentral:rRNA from 1 species